UUGCAGGCGGCAGGGCGAAGGGGUUUCUGCUGGUGUAUAUCACUGGCUAGCACUUGGCGUACACAUUAACAGCUCUUUGUGAAUACCGCAGAAGUGAAAAAGUCCUGCGAGAAAAGAUCCAGGUUUCAUCUUCUGUUGCUCAUCACCAUCUCUUCCUCUUUCUUCUCGUCGACUUUACCGUCGCAUAUAAGAUGGGAAAGUUAGGAUGAGCAUGUUUUCCGAUUUCAGCUGCUUCAUCGACUGUAUGCUUUCUUUCGGCGGAUACGAAACGAUGGUGCUUCGUUAUACCGAAGCUUUCUAUUUGCCUAUGUGGAGCACAUUUGGGUCACACGAGACAACACCGAGGUCGACCGUAUCGGACAAAAGUCUGACACUUUGUCAGUGGACAAAUGACAUCCGCGGCAAUAUCUGUGCCAACUUUGAAGAGCUGAGAGAGGUAAGAAUGCUUUCCAACUCUAUCUGCUUGCGUAUAAGUUCUCCUUUGGUCCUUAUAAGUGAAAUUGCCUUCAG